GCUGAUAGGUCUAAUCCUUCCUCAGAAAAGUUUGAUGUGACGAUGAUGUACACGAUGUUACGUAAUCGUGAUCCAAGUCUUCAGGUCCCGACUAAAGGUUGGGGAAGGACUCCGGAUACAUCCGAUACAAGAUUGACUGAUGACGUAGAAAGGAUCCGGAUAUACAGAAAUGAAAUCGGGCAUGCAACGGAAGCAACAAGUAAAUUAGAAAAGAAGGAACUAGAGAAGAAAGCACGAGAUCUCAUGCAGGCGAUUCUGAGGUUGAGCAACGGAAUGCUGAAACAAAAAAUGAUGAAUGUGUUGGAAGGAAGAACAUAGCAAAGUCCCAUGGGUGACAGAAUCUUUGAUGAAAGUCAUCUUGCAAGGAAACAAGACCUGAUUUCCAAGGCUGCAGAAAUGACGUCAGAAAGGAACUCCAGCCUCUUUUAAUAUUAACUACAGUGAAAUACCAAUCUUGGAGGACUUUGUUUACAAUCAAAGUGAUCUUUAACAAUAUAAUUUUGGUGAUCUUUUAGGAAAACAAGGCAAUUUAAAUUUACGAUAUACAUGCUUGUGAAAAAUGAUGUCAUUGCAAUAGAACUUUUUUCUCAAAUGAUGUAAAUUGGAAAUAGAAGUUGAGAAUUUAAAAACAUUAUGAUGUGUAAAUAUAUUAAUGCCUAAAAGACUUGAGUAAGUUGAGCUAAUACAAUGUAAAUGUACUUUCAAAAUUUGCCUAUUUCCGACUUAGAGCAUUCUAGUAACA